ACUUACAUACAGCAAAGCGCACAAAUCUCAUGAGAAAGCUUGAUGAGUUUUUAUAUAUGUAUACAUCCAGGUACCCAUUACCCAGAUCAAGGUAAAGAACAUUCUCUGCUCCCUGGGGCAAGUUCUCUGCUGUCCCCUCCUAGUCAGUGCCCUCACCAAAGAUAACCACCUUCUGAUCUUUCCUGUUUUUGAACUUCAUAUAAAUAGAAUUAUAAAGUUCAUGCUCUUUUUGUGUCUGGCUUCUUUCACUCAAAAUUAUAUGGAGACAUUCAUCCACAUUUUGGAGUGUAGCAAUGGUCUUUGUUUUUUCAUUGCCAUGUAGUAUUACAUUGCAUGACAAUAUUACAGUUUAUUGAUCUUUUGUACUAUUGAUGCACAGUUGGGUUGUUUCUGGGUUUUGGUAUUAUGAACAUAGCUGUUAUGAACAUUCUUGCACAAGCCUUGUGAUGGACAAAUGAGUGCAUUUCUGUUGAGUGUAUACCCAGGGAUGGUUUAUAGAGCUCUGGUGGGUAGAAUAGCUGUUUUUGAAUAGACAUUUCAUAAAGCGGGGGUCCUCAUAAGAUUUCACUUGGGACGUGUGGCUGCUUAAGAUUUCUUUUUAAAGGAAAAAGUUUAACUUCCACGAGUGCAAUCCUCUGCAUUUGCAGAUGAUCAGAGGGAGAUUCAGAGAAGAUGGUGAUUUGCUCAGACUUAAGCCACAGCAAAGCCAUGCCUGGAACUCAAUUACUAGAUAGAAGUUUCUUAUGAACUUCUGAGCUGUCUGAAAUGUGUGCUAUAUAUCACUCAACCUGGCUGCUGGUCAGAUGUGGAAAGGACAAUCUGAGUCAGAAGCCCUGGGUUCAAGCCCCACAACUGUUACCAGUGUGUGAUGCAUGGCAAGGUACUUGCUGCUGUGAACUAACUGGAAAGUGGAUACCCCUGCUUCCCAGCGUUGCCGGAUUAAAGGAGAUCAUGAUGCAGAGACACUCCAUUGGUUGAGAAGCACUUAACAUCAUUAUUAUCAUUACCAUCAAAAUAUAUUCUAAGGGGAUGCUUUGGAGCCCGAGAUGUAAGGUAGAGAUGAACAGAGGCAUGAUGCACAGAUAGCUGUGGCUCAAACCUGAAGAAUGAAGCAGGGUGAGGCCCACGGUGUGGAGGCUGGCCAGAGCGGAUAGUUACUGAGAACAUUCUACGCGGUGAGCGCUGCUCUGAGUGCUCUUCCUCUACCCUCCCAUUUAAUCCUCACAAAACCCAGUGAGGAACAACCUGUAUAUGCCUAUUUUCCAAAGAAGGACUUGAGGUACAGAGCACUUAAGCAACUCGCUUAAUGUCACAGUCAAUGGCAUUGAAACCCUGGCACGCCCAAGCGUAUGGUCUUUUCGUUCACCCUGCAUUCAUUCACCCAAGGCUGACACAGUGCCCCCUCUGUGCUAGGGGGCGGGGUGCAGAGCUGAACACUUUGGUUCCCCCAACCUCACAGCCCUCACCAUCUUUCUAAUCCAAUCCAGUUGGCACUCUCCCACACUUAACUCAAGAACUGCUCUGAAAUGUAGCUGGUCUGAGCUUAUGUGCUAUAUAUGUAGAAUACACACCAGGUUUAGAAGACCUAAUACAAAAAGAAUGCAAAAUAUACCAUUAAUAAUUUUUAAUAUUGACUGCAUGUUGAAGUGACUGUGUUUUGGAUAUAAACUAUAUCAUUAAGGUUUAUUGUACCUUUAAGAAAAAAAAGUGGCCACCAGAAAACUAGAGUCAUGUGGGCAUUCACAUGCUAUUUCUGUUGGAUGGCGUUGCUCUAGAAUGUGAAGUCCUUGAAGGCAGGGGCUGUCUCUGUAUUGUUCACUGUGGGUCCCAGGAGACAGAACAGGGCCAGUACACAAUGGUCCCUCAAUAGAGUUGUUGGAUAAUUGAAUAAAUGACCAAAUCCCA